GCGCCAGCAGCCGCGGUAAUACCAGCUCCCCGACUGGUCGGGACGAUUAUGGGUCUAAAGCGUCCGUAGCCGGCCCUGUAUGUGAUCCGUUAAAUCCAGCGGCUCAACCGCUGGGCUGCGGAUCAUACUAUGGGGCUAGGGGACGGGAGAGGCCGGAGUGACUCCCGGGUAGGGGUAAAAUCCGCUGAUCCGCGGAAGACCAACAGUGGCGAAGGCGUCCGGCCAGAACGCGCCCGACGGUGAGGGACGAAAGCCAGGGGAGCGAACCGGAUUAGAUACCCGGGUAGUCCUGGCCGUAAACGAUGCCCGCUAGGUCUUAGUGAAGCUUAGGGCUUCAUCAGGGCCGCAGGGAAGCCGUUAAGCGGGCCACCUGGGGAGUACGGCCGCAAGGCUGAAACUUAAAGGAAUUGGCGGGGGAGCACCACAAGGGGUGAAGCCUGCGGUUUAAUUGGAGUCAACGCCGGGAGCCUUACCAGGGGUGACGGCAGAGUGAAGGUCAGGCUAAAGACCUUACCUGACAAGCCGAGAGGAGGUGCAUGGCCGUCGCCAGCUCGUGCUGUGAAGUGUCCUGUUAAGUCAGGCAACGAGCGAGACCC
rnacentral:rRNA from 1 species